rnacentral:rRNA from 1 species
CCUACGGGAUGCUGCAGUGAGGAAUAUUGGUCAAUGGACGAGAGUCUGAACCAGCCAAGUAGCGUGAAGGAUGACUGCCCUAUGGGUUGUAAACUUCUUUUAUAUGGGAAUAAAACGUUCCACGUGUGGGAUUUUGUAUGUACCAUAUGAAUAAGGAUCGGCUAACUCCGUGCCAGCAGCCGCGGUAAUACGGGGGAUCCGAGCGUUAUCCGGAUUUAUUGGGUUUAAAGGGAGCGUAGGUGGAUUGUUAAGUCAGUUGUGAAAGUUUGCGGCUCAACCGUAAAAUUGCAGUUGAAACUGGCAGUCUUGAGUACAGUAGAGGUGUGCGGAAUUCGUGGUGUAGCGGUGAAAUGCUUAGAUAUCACGAAGAACUCCGAUUGCGAAGGCAGUUCACUGGACUGCAACUGACACUGAGGCUCGAAAGUGUGGGUAUCAAACAGGAUUAGAUACCCCGGUAGUC